CGCCUACGGGAGGCAGCAGUGGGGAAUAUUGGACAAUGGGCGCAAGCCUGAUCCAGCAAUGCCGUGUGUGUGAAGAAGGCCUUAGGGUUGUAAAGCACUUUCAAUUGGGAAGAAAAGCUUAAGGCUAAUAACCUCGAGUCUUGACGGUACCAAUACAAGAAGCACCGGCUAACUCCGUGCCAGCAGCCGCGGUAAUACGGAGGGUGCAAGCGUUAAUCGGAAUUACUGGGCGUAAAGAGCACGCAGGCGGUUUGUUAAGUCAGAUGUGAAAGCCCCGGGCUCAACCUGGGAACGGCAUUUGAUACUGGCAAACUAGAGUAUGGGAGAGAGAAGUAGAAUUUCACAUGUAGCGGUGAAAUGCGUAGAGAU
rnacentral:rRNA from 1 species